AUGUCAAAAGAAGAGAAAAGGAAAGGAAAACGCAUCCCAUUCCCAUCCCCCACCCAUCUCUCUCCCCUCGCCGCCGCCGUCGUCGCGAUUCCGGCGAGUUUCGGCGGCACGCAGCAGCGCACCGCCGACACCACCUCGCUCCGGCCCUUCCUCCUCCCCGUGGCUAGGGUCGCGGGCAUGUCCCUGGCUCGAGCUGCUCAGAUCCACGCCGCCGUCCUCCUCCACAACCACGCAGCGGCGGCGGAGGACGCGAAGGAGCCAUGCCAUGGACCCCAAACCCUUGCUCGCGGCCAUGGAUCUGCAGGCAGGAGGAGUCUUCUCCCUCCAUGGACAUGGAGGUCCGCCGUGGAAGAAGGCCUGGAGCUCGUCAUGGACGAGAAAACGGCAGAAAUCUGA
rnacentral:rRNA from 1 species